rnacentral:rRNA from 1 species
UAGAGUUUGAUCAUGGCUCAGAUUGAACGCUGGCGGCAGGCCUAACACAUGCAAGUCGAGCGGCAGCACGAGGAAGCUUGCUUUCUUGGUGGCGAGCGGCGGACGGGUGAGUAAUACAUGGGAAUCUGCCCGAUAGUGGGGGACAACGUUUCGAAAGGAACGCUAAUACCGCAUACGUCCUACGGGAGAAAGCAGGCUUAGGCUUGCGCUAUCGGAUGAGCCCAUGUCGGAUUAGCUUGUUGGUGAGGUAAUGGCUCACCAAGGCGACGAUCCGUAACUGGUCUGAGAGGAUGAUCAGUCACACCGGAACUGAGACACGGUCCGGACUCCUACGGGAGGCAGCAGUGGGGAAUAUUGGACAAUGGGGGCAACCCUGAUCCAGCCAUGCCGCGUGUGUGAAGAAGGCCUUCGGGUUGUAAAGCACUUUCAGCGAGGAGGAAAGCAGUAAGGUUAAUACCCUUAUUGUGUGACGUACUCGCAGAAGAGAC